ACCCUUUAAGCACAGGAUACGUUGCCAAAAAGUAUGCUCAAUCCCGUCGACUCGUAGGAUUCGGUCUGGCAGCCGGCGACCGGCGGCCCUCCCUCCCUCACGCAGCACGCUGCGCCGUCGCCUCCACCCCACCCUCCUCUCGCCUGCCGUCCUCCCCUGCCGCUGCGGCGCCGUCGUCGCCUCUUCCUGCAACGCCGGGAAUCGAUCUGUUGCGGCCGCUUCUCUGACGUCGAGAGGAGGACGGCUGCGCCAUCUUCUCCACCACACCGCGCCCGUCUUCACCUUCGCGUUCACGCAAUGAGGAUGCCCAGCGGCGGGCCGGUGUGGAUCUGACUAUCUGAGGCCACCACCGCCUAAGCAUCGCCCGAUCCUGUUUGUACCCUGUCAACGGCCACCAGCCCACCACCGUUACAGACCCGCUCGAUAGGAGGUCGUCCGACUCCACCGCCACCGCCACCGGCAGUUUGACUCCAUCGUGACCUCAGCAGUUGACAGGCUCCUGUGCAGCUCUAGGUCGACACUCCGCAAGGAGUUGGACCUUCCACAGCCGCACAAAGCUCAUCACGUUUGACAAGGGACACAUUUGCUGACGACGACGAUGAGGAUGAUGAUGACGAUGACGACGUUCAUGUGCGUCACGACGAGAUCGGUCUGUCCCAUCUACAGGUUGCUCCAGUCACCGAACCGUCACAGCCUACGCCACGCAGACGACGACCACGUGAUCCUUACACUCCAGGCACCGACACUCUUGAGGCCAAGUGUAAGACUAGGAGGAAGUGAGGUGGUGGAUGUCUUCUUAUUUGGGAUGUGCUAUGGAUUGUUUCUGAUAUGGCUGUGAUUUGGACUAUGUGCUACGCACGGCGAUUUGGACUAUUUUUUGUUUUAGACUAUGAUUUGUGCUAUGUACUUGAUUUUGUACUAUGUGUGAUAUGGACUACGUAUGAUAUUGUCUGGUUGUUUGAUGUGA